GUUCAUUCUGACAAAUUCGAAUACAAACAAAGCAACAUAACCUCUUUUACCAGGAGGAAAUUAAUUGAGUAAAAAUCUAUGGAAAAGAAUUAUAUCGGCAAGAUAUUGGUGACAUAAACCAUCAAAAGGAACAAGAAUGAACUAGAAGGAGAACUAAAGUGAUUUAUUGUGAAAAAUUUAUUGAUUUAAAACAGUAAUCACAUUCAACAGGUACCACAUUAAAAAGAUACUUUCUAUAAUGGUGUAGAGACAAGCUCGAAGUCACUGAUUAAUGUUGAGGUUGGCGGAUGUUUUGACAAGUUUCAAAUACAAACAAUUCAACAUAACCUCACUUUUAUUUCUUAUUAAAUCAAUUAAGCUUUUUAUGAACAAAACACCUUUCAAAAACUUAUUUGUAACUUUUUCAAUUACCUUUGGAAACUAAUCUUAUGAUAUAAAUAGACUGGUAAGCCAAGUAUAGCCAGAAGAUAAUUUUCUAUUAAUAAAGGUUGGCGCAAUUUUUGACAAGAUUCAAAUACAAACAAAUCAACAUAACCUCACUUCUAUUCCUGAUUAAAUCAAUUAAGCUUUUUGUGGCCAAAAAUGAAGGGGAAAUUGGGAUUAACGUCUCUUGGAAACAUUAUAGAAACUCGUUUUCCAAUUUACUUUGGAAGCUAAUCGUAGAGUAUAAACUGGUAAACUGAUCAUAUCGAGAAGAUAAUUUUCUAUAAAUAAAGGUUGGCGGAAUUUUUGACAAGAUUCAAAUACAAACAAAUCAACAUAACCUCACUUCUAUUCCUGAUUAAAUCAAUUAAGGUUUUUGUGGGCAAAAAUGAAGAGGAAAUUGGGAUUAACACCUCUUGGAAACAUUAUAGAAACUCGUUUCCCAAUUUACUUUGGAAGCUAGUCGUAGAGUAUAAACUGGUAAACUGAUCAUAUCGAGAAGAUAAUUUUCUAUAAAUAAAGGUUGGCGGAAUUUUUGACACAAUUUUCAAAUACAAACAAAUCAACAUAACCUCACUUUUAUUUCUCAAUAACUUAAUUAAACGUUUUAAUACAAAAAUGAAGAAGAAAAUAAGGUUAACACCUCUCAAAAACUUUAUACAAACUCGUUUCCCAAUUAACCUCGGAAGCUAAUCGCAAGAUAUAAACCGGUAAGCCGAUCAUAUCAGGAAGAUAAUUUUCAAUUAAUAA